UAGAAAUUGUAAUUUCGUCAUUUUGAGGGUCGAUGGUAGCCAGGUUACAUUUACCCGCUAAACACAAGCGGAGAGGAAAGAGGCGAAGCGGGAGGUUCGACUCCGCCUAGAUUUAUAGCGUUAAGCACACAACGUGUCAAAAGCGACAAUCAUCAUGACUCCAACCGUUGGUCAUCCGGGCCUGUUUCUGAAGUGUCAGUUCCUAGAAAUGCAGCUCUGUUAGAAAUGACAGAGGCUGAUGUAGAGAAACCUGUUAACUUGGCUCCGGCUGAGCCAAGACAGAGCAAAAGGGAGGCGAAAUAAGGCCCAGUGGACUAAUGGAAGAGAGCAGAACAAGAAAGUGAUUAAAGGCUGUCGGCUCAAGUCUGCCAGCAGACUUUUGUUGAAUCCCAAACUAACCCCUUGCCACCACCAACUUGUUCCAUUGGCAAGGGGAUGAAUAAACCCUUCAACUUCGGGACACACUCGUGACUUGAAUGAAUAUAAAAUGUAGCUCUACUAUGAUGAGACUGCGAUGCUGAUAUGAGCCAAACUUUAAAAUGAGACUUUUAAUUACAAAGAUAUAGGCUAGUCAUGUUUGACAAAUAUGUUAACCAACAUUAUCGGCUAGAUUUUAUCAACAAGGCACGGUUUGUUAAGAUCAAAUGAUCUCAAGAACCGAGAGAAAGGGCAGUGCCAAUUGGCAUAGUACAGAGGGGCACCAUAUGGGGGGUUAGGACGAGUCUAAGGGCCUAUGACUGACAGGGGCCCUAAAGAAAUAUUAGAA